rnacentral:lncRNA from 1 species
GUGUAUGAUAAGUAAAAAAGUCGUUGAUUAAUGUACUACUUUCUCCGUUUCAAAAUACAUGUCCAUUUUAGAGAAAUUUUUUGUUUCAAAAUACAUGUCCAUUUCAUAGUUUAAGGAUACAUUUUGUCUAUUUUACCCUUGUCUACCAAUUAAUUGGAUUCUAGAUUUUCUCCACAAUAAUUAUUUUCCACUAAUAAAUGUUGACCCAAUUUUAAGCAGAUUUACUCAUGCACUCUCCCAAGAAAUUAUUUUCCCAUGACUACUGCACUCUAAUCCAUCGUAACUAACUACUCCUAAUUAAUUGGACUCUCUAAUUUGUUUAUAAAAAUUGAGUUUUUAUAAUUAAAACUACCGAAAAAAAAAUGGAAAACAAAGGAAAGUCUGUGAAAGUUGAAUCUCUGCACAAUGAAAGAGUUGAAGACUCUUUUUUCAAUUGAGUUUAAAAAAAAAAUUGAUAACCGAAGCAUGAUAAGAGAAGUUGAAAAAAAAUUGUAUUGGCAUGCUAUUUUCAAUACAUAACCGCAGCAAAAACAAUGUGAUUUACUAGAUGAACCAUAUGUAUUGGUAUUGUCAGUAUGUAUUGGUAUUGAAGGAUGAUUGAAUUUAAUUAAUUUUGGUAUUGGUAUUGAGAGUAAUUAUGAGAUGGGGUAAAUAAAUGUAAAAUGGAGGAAAUCAAAGACAAGGGUAUAAUAGGAACUUUUGUGUCAAACUAGCUUGUCCUUGGUUACUGCAAUUUCUCCAAAAUGGACAUGUAUUUUGAAACGGAGGGAGUAUUAACUACUCCUAUUAAUGGCACUUAUAAAUGUAACUUUACUCUAAUGCUCGUUGAGAAAGAGAAACAUGUGACUUCGUGUCUGGUUUAUAGACACAUAAAUGUAACAUUUUAUGUGUAAUAUUGUAAACUGAAUUGUAUUGUAGUAAUACUAGUACUAUAUAUAUUGAUUCUAAUAUCGAAAUCCUAAUUCAAUAAAUUAUAGCUGCUCUAUAGUCGUAGAGGUAUGCACCAUUGGUAGAACGGAUUUUUGUUUCUUGUUAAUCUUCUGUUACUAAUUGCUGUUCUAACAUAUUUUUUUUCGUAUGAAAAAAUCAGCUUGAGAGGAUGACAAUCUAGUCCAAUGGUAGGAAGACUUGUGGCUUAAAGAACAUCUACCGAGAUUUCUUGUCCGUAGAUGAAAACAAACACCACUUAAAUUUCACACAUAACUAUGUUAUAUUGGGUUCAAAUUCAAGUAAAAGUGUCCAACCUAAAUUCCAACAUUAUAAGUUGAGUUAACCCUUACGGACCACAAAGGGAUUUAUAUUUAGCUAUAAAUUUUCUCAAAAAGUACUUAAAAAAAGAGAUGGAUGUUACUACGGUUGUAAGAGGAAG